CUAAAAUGCUAUAGCAAGUGUAAGAAUGGUUUUGAUAAUUGAGUGGUGAUAGUUAUGAUGUACAAAGUGAGAAGAAUGAAAAAGGAGAAUAAGAUAGGGGUGGUUGUUGGUGGUGCUGCUGCAGAUGCACCAGUACCGCUGAAUAUCAUUCCGAACAAGUCGACACUGCCGCUAUUGGACUGGUCAUGACCCCUGCCGCUUCCUUCACUAGUGCCGCCGCCCACUUGGGGUAAGAUGCUUAUGCUAUUGUCCCUGGGGCCACCAAGGACACCAGCAUUGGCGGUGAGCUGGUUGAUUAGAAGGGCGGAUUUGGGAUCAACGCUGUAGGCUUUGGUAUAUUGGUUGCUAAGGCCUUGCCCUGAAGGCACAAAAAAUGCGCCAUUAACCAUAGUGUCCCCGUCCGUCCUCCAAUUCCAUUCAUCCCACUGCCCAUUGUCUGUGUCCUCCCGCUUCGUCACCUCCUUCAAAUUUGGAUCAUCGGGAGCAGUAUAUCGAUUUCCUUGACUGUUAAUGGUAGGAUUAGCACUUCCACCAAUUGCAUACAUUUGCCAGUGUGUGAAAUCGUUGUUCACCACAUGUACAUAUCCUCUUCUAAUUCUUGGCAUUCUUUGCACUAAUCCUUCUCCGAAAUGAUUGAAUGCAAUUGUCACCUGCAUUCCUGAAUCAGGCAAGUAUUUAUCAUCAUGUCCCAAGAGCAUAACAUCAUCAUGAUGACUAAAAUAGUUAUUCGAUAUAGUAAUAGCAGUAGACCCCAUGAUUGCAUCAAUCAAACCGUCGGUACAAUGAGAUAAUGCACAGUGAUCAAUCCAGAUAUUAUGAGAUCCAAAGAUGGAUAUACCAUCACCGUCCGAUUUGCCUCUCCACCCAACAUGCGUUGGGCUCGACCGUAUGUUAGUAUUACCCGAAGGGACACAAUUGUAAAUAUGAACGUUAUGUAUAAUCACAUGGCUCACAUACUG
rnacentral:misc_RNA from 1 species